rnacentral:rRNA from 1 species
AUUGAACGCUGGCGGCAGGCCUAACACAUGCAAGUCGAACGAGUGGCGGACGGGUGAGUAAUGUCUGGGAAACUGCCUGAUGGAGGGGGAUAACUAAUGGAAACGGUAGCUAAUAACGCAUACAAUCAGAUGUGCCCAGAUGGGAUUAGCUAGUUGGUGGGGUAACGGAUCACCAAGGCGACGAUCCCUAGCUGGUCUGAGAGGAUGACCAGCAACCCUGGAACUGCUACACGGUCCAGACUCCAACGGGUGGCAGCAGUUGGGAAUAUUGCUCAAUGGGCUCGAGCCUGAUGCGGCCAUGCCGCGUGUAUGAAGUAGGCCUUCGGUUUGUAAAGUACUUUCAGCGGGGAGGCGUUACCCGCAGAAGAAUCACCGGCUAACUCCGUGCCAGCAGCCGCGGUAAUUC